GCAGUCGAACGGCAGCGCGGGAGCAAUCCUGGCGGCGAGUGGCGAACGGGUGAGUAAUACAUCGGAACGUGCCCAAUCGUGGGGGAUAACGCAGCGAAAGCUGUGCUAAUACCGCAUACGAUCUACGGAUGAAAGCAGGGGAUCGCAAGACCUUGCGCGAAUGGAGCGGCCGAUGGCAGAUUAGGUAGUUGGUGAGGUAAAGGCUCACCAAGCCUUCGAUCUGUAGCUGGUCUGAGAGGACGACCAGCCACACUGGGACUGAGACACGGCCCAGACUCCUACGGGAGGCAGCAGUGGGGAAUUUUGGACAAUGGGCGAAAGCCUGAUCCAGCCAUGCCGCGUGCAGGAUGAAGGCCUUCGGGUUGUAAACUGCUUUUGUACGGAACGAAACGGUCUUUUCUAAUACAAAAGGCUAAUGACGGUACCGUAAGAAUAAGCACCGGCUAACUACGUGCCAGCAGCCGCGGUAAUACGUAGGGUGCAAGCGUUAAUCGGAAUUACUGGGCGUAAAGCGUGCGCAGGCGGUUAUGUAAGACAGUUGUGAAAUCCCCGGGCUCAACCUGGGAACUGCAUCUGUGACUGCAUAGCUAGAGUACGGUAGAGGGGGAUGGAAUUCCGCGUGUAGCAGUGAAAUGCGUAGAUAUGCGGAGGAACACCGAUGGCGAAGGCAAUCCCCUGGACCUGUACUGA
rnacentral:rRNA from 1 species